CCAUAUUCUCUCUCUCUCUCUCUCUCUCUCUCUCUCUCUCUUAGGGUUUUAUAGUGUGAUUUUCCAUGUUGGAUAAUGACGAGUAAUCGCUACUUGAAACCCCGGCCGGAGAUCUCUCGUAUUAAUGGUUACAAGGAAGGAAGAAUGAAUGGAGGAGAGAGAUCAACCCGGAGAAGAUAGAUAGAUGGUGAAAGAGAUGUGGUGAGCCCACAAACGAGACUCGGUUUCAAAGGUCUUUUCUUGAAAAAGGAAAUGGCAUCAACACUUAGAUAAAUUUCCCCAUUGACACAACACAAUUAACCCUCCUCAACUUGUGUCACUCUCUUCUCCCCCACCAUAUGACCCCACCCUCCAUAACCACACACACAUAUAUAUACACACAUUCAUAUAUAUAUAUAUAUAUACGUGUAUGUAUUAUGUAUAUAUGUAUGUAUGUAUGUAUAUGUGUAUAUAUAUAUCCAUAUAUAUGCCAUUGAGUCAUCUUUGAGUAAAAUAUCCACAUGUUGAGUUUUGUGUGGGAAAGUUAAAAGUUUUUAUCA